AGUGAACGCUGGCGGUAGGCCUAACACAUGCAAGUCGAACGGCAGCACAGUAAGAGCUUGCUCUUACGGGUGGCGAGUGGCGGACGGGUGAGGAAUACAUCGGAAUCUACUUUUUCGUGGGGGAUAACGUAGGGAAACUUACGCUAAUACCGCAUACGACCUACGGGUGAAAGCAGGGGAUCUUCGGAUCUUGCGCGAUUGAAUGAGCCGAUGUCGGAUUAGCUAGUUGGCGGGGUAAAGGCCCACCAAGGCGACGAUCCGUAGCUGGUCUGAGAGGAUGAUCAGCCACACUGGAACUGAGACACGGUCCAGACUCCUACGGGAGGCAGCAGUGGGGAAUAUUGGACAAAGGGCGCAAGCCUGAUCCAGCCAUACCGCGUGGGUGAAGAAGGCCUUCGGGUUGUAAAGCCCUUUUGUUGGGAAAGAAAAGCAGCAGGUUAAUACCCCGCUGUUCUGACGGUACCCAAAGAAUAAGCACCGGCUAACUUCGUG
rnacentral:rRNA from 1 species